rnacentral:rRNA from 1 species
GUGGGGAAUAUUGGACAAUGGGCGAAAGCCUGAUCCAGCCAUGCCGCGUGUGUGAAGAAGGUCUUCGGAUUGUAAAGCACUUUAAGUGGGGAGGAAGGGCAGUAAGUUAAUACCUUGCUGUUUUGACGUUACCGACAGAUUAAGCACCGGCUACCUUCGUGCCAGCAGCCGCGGUAAUACGAAGGGUGCAAGCGUUAAUCGGAAUUACUGGGCGUAAAGCGCGCGUAGGUGGUUUUGUAAGUUGGAGGUGAAAUCCCCGGGCUCAACCUGGGAACUGCCUCCAAAACUGCAUGACUAGAGUACGGUAGAGGGUAGUGGAAUUUCCUGUGUAGCGGUGAAAUGCGUAGAUAUAGGAAGGAACACCAGUGGCGAAGGCGACUACCUGGACUGAUACUGACACUGAGGUGCGAAAGCGUGGGGAGCAAACAGGAUUAGAUACCCGUGUAGUCC